GCGCAACAAAAUUCAGGCGGAAACUGAAGAGCGGAUGAGUUGAGUCGACCGCGUUUUGCGAGUGUCGGCUUGACGGCAGUGAAACAACGACAUCGUUUUAUGUAUCAUAAACACGAUAUGAGCGUCCUGCAAAUGUACUUGUCAAAAUGCGGUUACAUUUGUAGCUAUUACUAUUAGCUGACUUACAUUGCUGACUUCUAUAUUUUGUUGCUGAGUUCCCAAACAAGUAAACUUCAUCCGUGACAGUUAAAUUCAAGCAGUUGUCAGUCAUCGGAUCCAGAAUUGAACCGGGUGAGCAUCUGGAUCAUGUCAGAUUUAUGUUGGUAAUGCCAAUAUUGUCCUCAAUGUCUCGUAGUUGGCAAACCAGCAGGAAGAUAGUUUAUUUAGUGAUGCUUCUUGACUUUAAAUAGCUGAGUUGCCAUAGGUAGCUAAAUUAGAUAGCUAGCAAAUUAGCUCGGGUGAUCCAAACUGCAAUGACAAUCAAGCUACUGUAAUUUCUCUAGCAGCACUGCCAGCAUAUAACAUGUUUUCUCUGUAACUAUUUUCAGAAGAUUGGAGUCUUGUAUUUAUUUGUAAGCGAGUAGCUCACCAUGAUCAUAAUCACUUAUGCAAUGUUUUGAUGAUGCUAUUUUUAUAUUGGUUACAGCUCUUACUGGUCAUUUUGUUACAGAUGGAUCAAAUGUUAUUAUACACAUAAUAGCCUAAUACAAAUAAACCAUACCAUAUUGUCAUAGGCUAAAUGCACAAAGGGCACUUUCUAUAUUGGUGACACGCAUGACAAUGGCAUGUACUUUGAGCCUGAGGCAAUAGCACUGUAAUCUUGAUGGACAUAGGUCAAUGAAGUGACUAAAAAAGAGUGGUCGCUCUUAUUAUUCCCCUGCACAAGAAAUGGUGAAUGCAAAAACGGUCUACUUUCACAGUGAAAAAAUACCAACUUCCGACCGUUACCCCUAUAAAUUGCAGAAACACACUACUAGGCAUUGAAAGGGGCUUGUAUGUGAAGUCUCCAUCAUUUCAACCUGGUGAUGUGCUGCCUAUGAUCCGUGCUCUUAUCCACAAAAUGGAGACAGGUAAUUGCCCUGCUGGAAACGAGGAGAAACAAACAGUUUCCUCACCUUCAGCUCAACAGGAGAACACUGCUUGUGGUGGACCUGCUGUAGGUGAGCCAGAAAGCCAAAGCCAGUUCUCUAGAGCUGCUUCCAAGGCUUCUUACCCUGAAUCGGAAGACCUGGACUCCUUUAACCUAAUAGAGCCCCCUCCUCUGGACUGGAGGUCAGACGACUCUAGUGAAGCAGGUUCAGUGGAAGAGAUGGACGACCCUAGCUUCCCUCCCUCCUCGGUCCCUGUGGACAGUUUAGAGGACGGAUUAAGUGAGUCCCUACCUCCCUUGUACACCAGUGACACUGCAGCUUCUUCUCUGGUAGUUAGCCAGGAGGAGCUAAUUGACUAUGCUCCUGAGGAUAACACGACAACCAAACAGGUUCUGGAUCCUAGCAAAGAGGGAGGAGAGGUGGGGGAUGAGAUGGAGGAGAAGGUUGAGAUCAGGAGAACAGGUGACAAAGACCACACUCAGAUCCACCACCUGCUAAACCGACUUCAGGUCAUUGGAGGAAGCCCUCUCCCCAGGGACUCAACCUCUGACCCUACACCAUCAGCAUUCUCUGAGCCCUCUGAAUUUGAGCCUCCAGGCCCAUCUCUGUUGAUGGACAUCAGCCCAUUGCUACCAGACCCAGAGCAGAACCCGAAACAGGCCUCGGAGAUGCUUUUCUCAGAGAGUCACCAGAGAGACCUUUUAGGGCUGUUGGAGUGUACAGAGAUAGGGGCUUCCCAGCCCAGUUCCUCUGACAUCAAGGUUCCUCCUUACAUGGCCCGGAGAGGGGAGAUGGACGCGGUGGUGUCGGUCUCCUACAACCAGGAGGAUGGCGAAAGGUUCUGGGAACACUUUGGGAACAGCUGGCGGCUGCGCCACAGGGAUGACUCCAUGGAAUCUUUCCCGGAGGACGAGGUCCCAGAGCCCGUAUGGAUGAAGUUAGGGGAGGAGGCUCCGGAGGAGGUAGACUCUGCAGAGAACAGUAAUCGGGGCGCAGAGGACCGCCCACCCUAUAAAGACGUGCCUGGCCCCUGUGACCCAAAUGACCUCCUGGAUGGGGUCAUAUUUGGGGCCAAGUACCUGGGCUCCACCCAGCUCAAGUCUGACAAGAACCCCUCCACCAACGCUCGAAUGAAACAGUCCCAGGAGGCUGUGGACAGGAUAAAAGCCCCAGACGGAGAGUCUCAGCCUAUGACCGAGGUGGAUCUCUUCAUCUCCACUCAGCGCAUCAAAGUCCUCAGCGCAGACACACAGGAGGCCAUGAUGGACCAUCCUCUCCAGAUGAUCUCCUACAUCGCAGACAUCGGCAGCAUCGUGGUCCUGAUGGCCCGCAGGAAGCCGGCCGGGGGCCGUAAGGGCCAGGAGGGGAACCUUGCUGGGGUCAACUCCCCCGGGCCACAGAAAAAGUGCUGCAUGAUCUGCCAUGUGUUCAACUCUGACGAGGCCCAGGUGAUCGCUCAGGCGAUUGGCCAGGCCUUCGGUGUGGCCUACCAGCAGUUCCUGCAUGCCAACGGCAUCAAGGCCAGUGAGCUAAGGCCCAGCGAGUACAGUGACUACCUGGGGACCCAGGAGCACUACAACGGAGACCUGGUACACUUCUCGGAUUCAGAUAACAUCAGAGAGGUGUCCAUCUCCAAGGCUCCCGGGGAGAUAGUGGGGAUGGCUGUGGUGGAGUCGGGCUGGGGCUCCAUCCUGCCCACGGUGGUGGUGGCCAACCUGCUCCACGGUGGUCCUGCAGAACGCUGUGGGGCCCUCAGCAUAGGAGACCGCAUCAUGUCAGUCAAUGGCACUAGCCUGGUGGGCCUCCCCAUAGCCACCUGCCAGAGUAUAAUCCGGGAUUUUAAAAACCAAGCAGAGGUGAAGCUCAGUAUCGUUCACUGCCCUCCUGUCACCAUGGCAAUUGUCAAGCGACCGGACCCAAAAUUUCAGUUGGGCUUCAGUGUAGAGGACGGGAUUAUUUUUUUUGCUAAGGCCCAGUCCAGUCACUAAUCUGCAGUUUGAUGCGUGGAGGGAUCGCAGAGAGAGGGGGCAUCCGGGUCGGACACCGCAUCAUUGAAAUCAAUGGGCAGAGUGUGGUAGCCACUCCUCACGAGAAGAUCAUCCACAUUUUGACUAACGCAGUCGGGGAGAUUCACUUGAAGACCAUGCCAGCCUCUACAUAUCGCCUUUUAACGGGACAAGAAACGCCAGUAUUUCUCUGAGAGAACGGAGGAGAGAAUGCUGCUGGUGCUCUCAGAAGCCAACAAGGAAGAAUACCAUUUUGAAGCUAUACACAUGCACACACGCAGCCUCAAAUUGGACUAUGCAAAUGGACUGUAUCACCUGGCUAUUGAUACACCACUGAACAUAAUGGGGUUAUCCACCUGAACAGAAUAUUUGAUAAUGUAUAUUGGAAUAUCAGGAUGAUACAGCAAAUGUUUUCAAAGGUAGAAUUGUUAAUAAAUCUCUGUUUAUAUUUGAGAUGUUAAAGCAGAUAACCUCACUUUUCCUAUUGACGAUCUCAGUUAUCUUACUACUAUACUAAUUAUCUUUCUGAACAGGAAAAGCAUGAGUACCUGCAAUGAAUUACUUCCACUGCCAUUCUUUAGUUGCCGAUGUGCCUCAGCUCAGUGGAACUUGAAUUCGUGGAGAGGAGCCUAAUUUAAGAUAGCUGGUCCAUAUCUCUCGUCAUUACGUGCUUCCCACCUCUAGACAAUGCCAUUGAGUAACAUGCACAUCAACAAGCGACUACUUCGUCAGUGUUACAUUGUUAUUAUGUAUCUCCGAACAGUGUACUAUUAAUAUGCUGAAAGAUUUUUACGUUGUGCAUGCCAUUCCCUAUUGUUCCCAUUUCCAUGCCUGGAAGAAUUCAGAACUUAGUUCUGUAUUUUCAGAAUCAAAGGUAACUGCCUUUUAGUGUUAGAGAUAUACACUGAGUGUACAAAAUCUUAAGGACACCUGCUCUUUACAUGACAUAGGCUUACCAGAUGAGUCCAGGUGAAAGCUAUGAUCCCUCAUUGAUGUCACUUGUUAAAUCCAUUUCAAUCAGUGUAGAAAGAUGAAGGGGAGGAAACAGGUUAAAUAAGGAUUUUAAGCCUUGAGACUAUUGAGACAUGGAUUGUGUAUGUGUGCCAUUCAGAGGGUGAAUGGGCAAGACAAAAGAUUUAAGGGGCUUUUGAACAGGGAAACGCUCAACAGCUUUUCCAUGGGUAUCAAGAAUGGUCCACCACAAAAGGAUGUCCAGCCAAUUUGACACCUUGUAGAGUCCAUGCCUGACAAAUUAAGGCUGUUCUGAGGGCAAAAUGUGCUGCAACUCAAUAUUAGGAAGGUGCUCUUAAUGUUUUGUACACUUAUAUAUAUUUUUAAUGACUGCAGUUUUGUAUGUUUAUUAAAUGAUAUAUCCCAAACAAUUGGCAUUUGUUUUUCAAUUUAAUUGAUUAUGAACUGAGGGUGUGUGACUAAACCCUGUAUUGUAUGCUGCUGUUCUGAUGGUAUUGUGUGAUAUGUUAUGUCCGUGUUCUACCUCCAAACUUUAAUAUUUGAUCCAAUAAUGGAAAAAAUGUACACCAAAAAAUGUACAAUAUAACCCUGUGACAAUAUUGAUGUCUUAGAAUGCUCAUGGUGGGUCAUUCUCUACAAUGUAUGGAACUUAUUCUUUACGAGUUUUAGGCCUGACCCUACAGUGACAGGGUGGCAAUGGCAUCUAGCGCCCUACAUAAUUUCUGUGAUGUGGAUAUGGCCCGGCCACAUUAGCCACCACAGGUGAGUACCAGGGUCAUGUAUUAAGGGCACACAAUAGCAAAUCAUAAGGUGAAUGCACCAAUUUGUAAGUCGCUCUGGAUAAGAGCGUCUGCUAAAUGACGUAAAUGCAAAUGUUUCGAAACGUUGUGCAACGGAAUAAAAUGAUCUUGAUGAAUAUUUA